AAAUUGAAGAGUUUGAUCAUGGCUCAGAUUGAACGCUGGCGGCAGGCCUAACACAUGCAAGUCGAACGGUAACAGAAAGCAGCUUGCUGCUUUGCUGACGAGUGGCGGACGGGUGAGUAAUGUCUGGGAAACUGCCUGAUGGAGGGGGAUAACUACUGGAAACGGUAGCUAAUACCGCAUAACGUCGCAAGACCAAAGAGGGGGACCUUCGGGCCUCUUGCCAUCGGAUGUGCCCAGAUGGGAUUAGCUUGUUGGUGGGGUAACGGCUCACCAAGGCGACGAUCCCUAGCUGGUCUGAGAGGAUGACCAGCCACACUGGAACUGAGACACGGUCCAGACUCCUACGGGAGGCAGCAGUGGGGAAUAUUGCACAAUGGGCGCAAGCCUGAUGCAGCCAUGC
rnacentral:rRNA from 1 species